rnacentral:rRNA from 1 species
CAAUAGCGUAUAUUAAAGUUGUUGCGGUUAAAAAGCUCGUAGUUGGAUUUCUGCCUGAGGCAGCCGGUCCGCAUCUUCAGUGCGUGUAUGCUUGGUUUGGGUUGGCAUCCUCUUGGGGAUCGUUGCUGUGCUUAGUUGCAUGGUGCGGAAUUCAAGACGUUUACUUUGAGGAAAUUAGAGUGGUUACGGCAAGCUAUCGCUUUGAAUACAUUAGCAUGGAAUAAUAAUAUAGGGCGUAAGUUCUAUCUUGUUGGUUUCUAGAACAUACGCAAUGAUUAAUAGGGACAAUUGGGGGCAUUCGUAUUAACGCGUCAGAGGUGGAAUUCUUAGAUUGCGUUACGACGAACUACUGCGAAAGCAUUUGCCAAGGAUGUUUUCAUUGAUCAAGAACGAAAGUAUGGGGAUCGAAGAUGAUCAGAU